rnacentral:rRNA from 1 species
UACAGAGGGUGCAAGCGUUGUCCGGAAUGAUUGGGCGUAAAGCGUUCGUAGGUGGUUCUUAAAGUCUACUGUUAAAUCCCAGGGCUCAACCUUGGACAGGCAGUGGAGUACUCAAGAGCUUGAGGACGGUAGGGGUAGAGGGAAUUCCCAGUGUAGCGGUGAAAUGCACAGAGAUUGGGAAGAACACCAGUGGCGAAAGCGCUCUACUAGGCCGUAUCUGACACUGAGGGACGACAGCUGGGGGAGCAAA